rnacentral:lncRNA from 1 species
UGACAUCCGGGGAAGGAGAGGAAGUGUGAGGCUGGCAUUCUUGGUAAGAUAAGACCUUGUAAAAAUACAUAUAUUCGUAUGUUUACUAGGAUUACAACAUUCUUCUAGCAUUAUAGGUUAAUGCUUAAGACAGAGUUAGCUCUAGAUAUUGGCCAGCGCCAUUGUAACUAAUAGAGUCUCUUUGUGAUAUUUGGGUGCUCUAAAGUGGCAACGGGACCUAGGCAGGAAUCCUGUUACAGCAGCAUCACUGGUUUCAUCUUCUGAGUCAGACUCAAUCUGGGAUGUGGAGCUGUGUGACGAAGAGUUCCUGGGGGAAGAGCAUUCUGGAGAACACAAAUAAUGCACCAGCGGGACGUCAUACCUCCCACAGAAGUCCACAGUCACAAUUUAUCUGGCAAAGCAGUCAAAAUACACUCUCCUAUAUUUGCGCUUCUGCAAUUGCUGGCUGCACCCAAGUAUCUUAACAGAUUCCCAGGAAGAUAAGAGAAUCCCAGGACUUGAGAAACAGAAGUUGUCAGGUGUCUGUGGUUUGCUGAUCACCCAACUGAAAUAACGAGGUGAAUUCCUUUUACUGAAAACAGUGACUCAGAAUUUGGUUCAUAGGCACAAUUGCACCAUGAGGAUAUCUAGAUGGAUCACAAUGAUAAUAUGGGAAAAAACAGAAGCCUCAGUGGAAGUGUGAAACUCAAUUGAUGAAUUGUCUCCAUCCUACUCUGCUGUCAUCAUAUUGUACUGUCCUGAAUUUGGUUGGUUAAAGUUUGAAGUCAGAAGCCCAUUGUGGGAAAUCUCACUCCUGGGGAAGUCUUCGAAGUUUCUAUAAGAAAUCAAGAUAAAUGAGCCAUGGUGAAUAAGCCAAUUGAAAAAAAUCAGGGUUGAUCAAGGAAAAUCCCCUGCAACACCCCUGAUGGUAGUGGAUGGUUCAAAUGAUUCAACAACUCAGAGAGCAUGUGUUUCAGUUUCCUCUGAGUUAUACAUGCAGAAUAACUUCAAGCUAGUGAGGAGAAGACUUAGAAACAGAAUUCGCGAAAACGCUUCCUGGUCAUUACCGACUUUGAAAAUCCACAUUAAAGCUAAAGACUUAAUGCAGUCCCUUCUCCCUCGACCCCUAAAAAGGACCCGGAACAGGAAGUGCGUCACAAUCCCAUUCUGGGGACGGACCAGGCUGCCUAGGAAACUACAGGAACCAAAGAUUCUCUUUGUUGGCGAUUUCCUUCAGAACAGCAAUCACAGUCGCACUUCCUGGCUGCAGCUGAAUAGCUUUGAGCGUUGGUUUAAUUCUUUAAAUGAAAGCUUCUCUUUAUUUGCGAUUUUACCCUAUCAGCAAACACAGUCGCACUUCCACGUUGGGGAGAGUAGCUUUGAGAACGAAAUUUCACUUUUUAAAAAAUCUCUUCAUUUGCGAUUUCCCCUGACUACCAGAGUCGCACAUCCAGGUUGCAGAAGAGUGACAUGAAAGCAGGAUUUCUUCGCUUAACUGAAGGUUUCUCUUUGUUUGCGAUUUUUACGGAGCAGCACACGCAGGUGGCAGGAGAGUGACACUAAACCUUCCACAGCACUUGUGUGAAAUUUGGCUGCAUUAAAUCAAUCAUGUGUGACAAACAUGUUCAAAGCAGUAACAAAUCACUCUUUAUGAGAUAAGGAAAGAUCUUUAGCAUCCAUCUUCAGCCUAUAUGCCCAGGACAUAUGGCACAUUUUUUUAUGAAGAAGGAACUUGAAGGAUCACCCUUUCCAUUGGCAACUUCAGCAGUCACUCUUCUUUGUAACCUGCCUGUCGAGUUUGGACAGCAUUGUGUCAAGCAUUCAAGGAAAGAAGUUUCUUGUACAAAUGGCUGGUCCUGCCAUGUGAAAGGUGACAUCACUCCAGGCUGAUUCUGACGGCUCCCCAAUGUCUACCAUUCUGCUAGAUUUUCAUGAAACACUUAAUUGAAAAUUGUGACCAACCACAGUUUUGGACUGCCAUUCAGAAUAAAUUCUACUCAAAAUCUAUACAGGGAACUGGACAUGACCAUGAUGAACAUAUAUAUGAAAUAUAAAUCCUUUGACAACAUUGCAACUCUUACAUGGACAUUCAAGAUGAAACCACUAAGAUUUCCAAACAUCUUCAAGCUCAACUUUCUUUUUUAAUCACCUUUGGUGAGUUUAAGUAUUUUUCUACACCCACUGCUGUUAUCCACGAAGAUCAUUAAGCAUUCUGUAUGCAGGAUUCCAGGCUUCAUCUUCUGAGUCAGAUGCCAUCUGAGAUGUGGAGCUGUGUGAGGCAGAGAUGCAAGGGGAAGAGCAUUCUGGAGAACACAAACAAUGCCUCGGGGAUGUGAUACUUCCAACAGAAAUCCACAGACUUAAUUUGUCUGAAAGAGCAGUCAAAAUACACUCCUCCAUACUUGGGGUUUGGGCAAUUGCUGGCUAAACACAAACAUCUAAGGAGCUUCCCAGGAAGAUCAUGGGGAGUGUAAGAAAUACUUCUGGAUCUUAAUGAUCCUUGCAGGUAUUGCCAGAAGAACUGGAGAGUCAAAUGUUAAAUCUUGACCAAAGGAAACAAAAAACAAUGUAUUUCAUAAAAAACAACUCUUCCUGAUGUGUAAGUCUGAGGAUCUCUAGAGGCAGACAUGUCAGCAAGUUAUUGAGGGAAUGCUCUGCAGCUGGUUUCCUCCCAGGUUCUGGUUGCCUCCCAUGUUAAGGGUCUACAGGGCUCCCAGCUCCAACAGCUAGGCAGGCCCUUAAUGGAAGCAGAUGGCUGUGAGGUAGCGAACCUGUAAUAUGUUAUGUAGUUGCACAUGGACAGGUCAUAGAGCAGCAUUCCUGGAUUUCAGAUCUCUAUGUCCAUCAGAAUGCUGGGGCUGCUCUGAUGGGACAGCUCCAAUCCCAGAGUCAUGUGCUCAUUCCUGGUCAAGUCCUGUAGCUGAAGGUUCAGAAAGACACUGCACAGCGCCCAGGCAGCAUGUCAGAAUGUUGUAGGCCAGCAGCAUCCACAGAAACAACAAACUUGAGCCCUGUUACCCCUCAGGCCUCCCUUCCACCUUCGACUCCUGCUCCCUUCCACCUCAGACUCCAGAGUGUAGGCUAACAUGCUGAGAAGGGAGCAGCUGAGUUCAGCUUCUCUGCAUGUGGCCUCACCCAUAGGCAGUAAUCCCAGGCUCUUCCAGUUGACACCAUGGAACGCUCUGCAACAGGAAGUGAGCUCUGUUUAGGACGUGGUGCCAGUUGGUGGGGGGAAGUAGCGUCGUGGGGGCGAGGAAAGACUACGUUCUGUAGCUAGCUGACCACUUUUCUGUAACAUUUAGGAUAAAUGUGAACUUCUAUCUUCUAUUGCAUUGAAAAUCGAUGUCGAGACAUUCUGUAAUAUAGAUCGAAUAUAGCUGAGAUCCUUGACAGAUGAUUAAUUCAUGUGUGAGAUGGAGUAUGUGGGAGAGCCCUUGUGCCUGUCAUUUUCCUCUGCAUGUUUUAGGAUCACAGACAGGAUUCCCACAGACACCUUUUUGGUUCCUCAGAUUUCAGUGCAGGAUACAGAAACGUUAAGUUGAAUCUUCAGAGGGAACCCAAAGCAUAGAUUCAGAAAUGUAACAGAGGAAAACUGGAGUUUUUCAAACUGUUUGUUGCAGUGUGUUCCUUGAGUUAUAGGAAAGUGAUUGUAUUUUAAAUAAAGUAAAAAUUUUCAUCACUUGGUAAUGGGUCAUUCAGUAACAGACUUAUACUGCAUGUGUGAAAUACUGUUUUUUCUCUCUCAAGUAAGCAUGGAAGUCAUUAAAAUUAUGUGGUAAGCAAGACCAGAACUUGAGAAGAAGAAAUUGUCAGACCUCUGAGUUUGCUGACAAUCUAGCUGAAAACAGUGUCUCACUUAAGUUCAGGAGUAGC